UUUUGUUGGAGAUCCCUGCCUACCUGAGGUCUUCUCAAGGCUGUGUUGUUGUUUCAGUGUUUACGGGGAUCUCCUGCUCUAGAAGGGAUCUGUGCUAUGGAUUUCUUCAUCAGAAUGAAGGUGGUUGUUCAGUGCUUGAAGAAAGAAUAACAACAAAACCCUGAUCCGGAUGUUGUCCAGUUCCUCCUCCCAGCCUCUUCCCCAGACCCUCAGCAUCAGCAGCUCUGAGAAGAGGCCUUUGUUGCCCUGAUAUUGGAGGUUGGAUAAUCUCAGUUGGCUGAGGUGUGUAAAUGAAGACCAUGGAGAACAAGUCCAGGUUAGAGGAUUCACCCCUGGAAAUUGCUGAUUUUGGUAGGCUUGUAUGAGAGGAGCCUUGUGAGUGCUGCUGGGGAGCCACUGCAGCAAUAGGAGCUCUGGCUCUGAGGAGCCCCUGAUGGAACAAAACGUUCCCUUUGUCCCUGGCGUGGGUUGAGAUAUGGCCAGGCGGUGAGCUGUUGACCCAGCACAGCAUGUCUGUGGAAUGGGAGGGAGAUUUUUUUGGACAAGAACUUUGAGAAAUUCUGCAGGAAAAAGUUCUACAAACAACUGGAUUUAAUCUCAGUUUCUGCUCAGAUGUGGAUACUCGUGGUUUGCAAAGUUUGUUCAAGAAGGGGUCAGUCUUGUAACCCAAUCAUGAUGGACACUGCAGGCAAUUUACUCCUUUAUGUAAAAAAGAUUUCAGGAGGGCAAAAUAGCUAUAAGCUGGCAGUAGAAGUGAACUCAGAACGUUGGCUGGCCUCUGUUUGUGGCAGGUUCAAUAACAAUAAAUGUGUGUAUUUUAUGCUCCCAGUAAUAACCCAAUUAGAGGCACUUUG
ensembl:lncRNA